rnacentral:rRNA from 1 species
CAGCCGCCGCGGUAAUACGGAGGAUCCAAGCGUUAUCCGGAAUCAUUGGGUUUAAAGGGUCCGUAGGCGGCUUUAUAAGUCAGUGGUGAAAUCUCCCCGCUCAACGGGGAAACGGCCAUUGAUACUGUAAGGCUUGAAUUAUUAGGAAGUAACUAGAAUAUGUAGUGUAGCGGUGAAAUGCUUAGAGAUUACAUGGAAUACCAAUUGCGAAGGCAGGUUACUACUAAUGGAUUGACGCUGAUGGACGAAAGCGUGGGUAGCGAACAGGAUUAGAUACCCUGGUAGUCCACGCCGUAAACGAUGGAUACUAGCUGUUGGGGGCAACUUCAGUGGCUAAGCGAAAGUGAUAAGUAUCCCACCUGGGGAGUACGUUCGCAAGAAGUGAAACUUAAAGGAAUUGACGG